rnacentral:rRNA from 1 species
GUAGGUGGCAAGCGUUGUCCGGAAUUAUUGGGCGUAAAGCGCGCGCAGGCGGUUCUUUAAGUCUGAUGUGAAAGCCCACGGCUCAACCGUGGAGGGUCAUCGGAAACUGGAGAACUUGAGUACAGAAGAGGAAAGCGGAAUUCCACGUGUAGCGGUGAAAUGCGUAGAGAUGUGGAGGAACACCAGUGGCGAAGGCGGCUUUCUGGUCUGUAACUGACGCUGAGGCGCGAAAGCGUGGGGAGCAAACAGGAUUAGAUACCCUGGUAGUCCACGCCGUAAACGAUGAGUGCUAAGUGUUAGGGGGGUUUUCCGCCCCCCUUAGUGCUGCAGCUAACGCAUUAAGCACUCCGCCUGGGAGUACGGCCGCAAGGCUA